rnacentral:ncRNA from 2 species
CAUCCCUUGCGUGACUGGCGAUAAUACCCUCCGGGGUCAAGGUGGAGCGACCCACCGUGAAGCGCAAGGUGCCGUUUUGCCGUUCGCCUGGGCAGCCGAA